AAAACUUGUCAAAGGAGACGCCUGCUAGUUUCUGGCAAAAUCAGACAAAUAAAAGAAUCAAAGACAAACAGAAAAACAAUGUUCUGAUCGACACAUUACCAGUUUUUGCUCUGUGGGUAAAUUCACACUAUGACUGGUCAGUGACAAAAUUCAGACAAUGAAACCCACAGAAAAAGCUUCAAUUGCGUUACGUAUGACAGUCGAUUGCACAUGGUGAAAUACGUGCAAUUGAGAAAGUACCACACCAACAAACAUCAGGCUAGUUGAGUCUCAAACUCCAAGUAAUGAACUCAAAAUGCCUCUGAUAAACAGAAUUUAAAAUUUUAAGAUUAGACACUAGGACAAAUUGGGGCAAAUUGAGCCAAAAAGACCAAAUAAAGCCUUCCCAUCCGACAAGCAGCAAGCAAGCAAGUAAAGUUGCAAUUCAAGUAGGGGACAUGUACAAAUGCGUAUGAUUAUAUGUCAGAUUGCGCAAAAUGAAACCACAUCCAAUGGACCAUGUUGUGACCAAAAAAAUGUUUAGAAAAACCUUAUAAAAAGCAUACAUAGCAGGGCAAGAAGAAGUGUACCUGUUCAUUGGUGAUUCAAGUGAGCCUCUACGUUCCCUUGCCAAAAAAUUUAGACAGCAUGACAAGAUCCAUCUAACCAUGCAGUUGCUUGCCUCUCCGCAUGCCAGAUAAAACUGACAAUAGGCUAGCUGAGAGACAAAAUCCAUGGAAUGAACUCAAAAUGCCCUGAUCUUCAAAAUUUGCAAUUUUAACCUAGGACAAUUUCAGACAAAAAAAACCCAAAAAGGCUUCGUUCCUCUGUAAAACAAAGAAUGAGAAAAAAAAAGGGAUGCCAAAGUACAGUUUUGCAAUUCCAGUCGAAAGUAAAUGCAAUUUCAAUUCAUGUGACAUCCGGUGUGCAUAGUGGACUAAGAAGUGCAAUUGAGAUAAAAGAUCAGAAAAGGGCAAGCAUUGUGAUAAUUAAAAAAAGGUGAUGCAAUUUAAGGAGGAGGCAGCUGCAAAUUGCAUGAGGCUACAUACUAGAUUGCGCAAAAUAAAGUACAUGCAAAUUAACCAUGUUGUGACUAGUAAAAUCAGAGUCAAAAAAUUUAGGGACAAAAUGCAGUGAUGCAAUUCAAUAAGGAGACAGAUGUAAAAUCAAAUUGCAAUUCAUAAAAAGAAACCCGGUUGCGAG
rnacentral:lncRNA from 1 species